rnacentral:rRNA from 1 species
UACGUAGGGGGCGAGCGUUGUCCGGAGUUACUGGGCGUAAAGCGCACGCAGGCGGUCUGCUAAGUUUGGAGUGACAGUUGGUGGCUUAACUGCCAAAGUGCUUCGAAAACUGACAGACUUGAGGGCUUCAGAGGGACACGGAAUUCCGGGUGGAGUGGUGAAAUGCGUAGAUAUCAGGAGGAACACCGGUGGCGAAGGCGGCUCACUGGCCAUGUACUGACACUGAAACACGAAAGCGUGGGGAUCAAACAGG